rnacentral:rRNA from 2 species
GAGUGGCGAACUGGUGUAGUAACACGGUGGGGUAACCUGCCCCGAAGCGGGGGAUAACAUUUGGAAACAAGUGCUAAUACCGCAUAAUUAGUUGGAACCGCAUGGUUCCAACUUGAAAGAUGGCUCUGCUAUCACUUUGGGAUGGACCCGCGCCGUAUUAGUUAGUUGGUGAGAUAAAAGCCCACCAAGACGAUGAUACGUAGCCGACCUGAGAGGGUAAUCGGCCACAUUGGGACUGAGACACGGCCCAGACUCCUACGGGAGGCAGCAGUAGGGAAUCUUCCACAAUGGACGAAAGUCUGAUGGAGCAACNCCNCGUGAGUGAUGAAGGUUUUCGGAUCGUAAAACUCUGUUGUUAAAGAAGAACAAGUGUUAGAGUAACUGUUAACACUUUGACGGUAUUUAACCAGAAAGCCACGGCUAACUACGUGCCAGCAGCCGCGGUAAUACGUAGGUGGCAAGCGUUGUCCGGAUUUAUUGGGCGUAAAGCGAGCGCAGGCGGUUUUGUAAGUCUGCUGUGAAAGCCCUCAGCUCAACUGAGGAAGUGCAGUGGAAACUACAAAACUUGAGUACAGAAGAGGAAAGUGGAACUCCAUGUGUAGCGGUGAAAUGCGUA